rnacentral:lncRNA from 1 species
UCAUAUAGUAAUUGUGAUGAAAACACCUUAGUUGGUACUACGUUAUAUGGUAUUGGCCCUAUAUCUAAGUAUUUUGUCAAAAAUGAGGAUGGUGUUUCACUAGCUCCCAUGCUUGCCGCAGUCCAAGAUAAGGUUUACAUGAAAAGUUGGUAAGCUAUUUUUUUAUCAUCUUUAAUUCAACUUUAAGAAAUCAAUCAUAACAUGUUAUAUUUAUAGGAAAACAUAAGAUAGUUUGAGACAUUUGAAACUAGGCCGUCCAUUUGAGAUAUGUAUCAUAUUAUACUUAUAUUUAAUCAUAUUAUACUUAUAUUUAAUCAUAUUAAAGAAACCAUUAGAUUUAAAAUUAACGACAUAAAUAUUGAAGAUAUCUCUUAUAAUAUCUCAAGAUUUUUUUUAUAGGUACUACUUGAAAGAAGCAGUGAUGACAGGUGGUAUUCCAUUCAACAUGGCGUACGGAAUGUCAGCUUUUGAGUAUCAUAGUAUAGAUGUGAGGUUCAAUAAUCUAUUUAAUAAAGCAUUUUUUAAUAUGACAAUCCUUAUGAAGAAAAUUCUUCAUUUAUAUAAUGGAUUUGAGAGUAUCAACAAAUUGGUUGAUGUUGGUGGGGGCACUGGAGCCAAUCUAAACAUCAUAAUCUCGCAACAUCCAACCAUAAAGGGUGUCAACUUCGACCUUCCUCAUGUCAUCAAAAAUGCCCCCUUAUUUAAAGGUAACAUAAUAUAUCCAGAAUCAGUAUAUAAUUGAAUGUUUUGCGGAAACUAAUUAUGUAUGAUUGUGUUCUGUUUUACAGGAGUGAAACAUGUUGGCGGAGACAUGUUUGAGAAGGUUCCUAGUGGUGAUGCCAUUUUUAUGAAGGUAUAUAUCUUAAACUGGCCUUUAAUUUUCCAUAUAUUGAUUCUAACCCAGAUAAGUACAUCACUGUUUUGUUUUAUGCAGUUUAUCCUACAUGAUUGGAGCGACGAUCAUUGUGUGAAGUUAUUGAAGAAUUGUUGGAAACAACUUCCAAAAAAUGGAAUGGUUAUCGUCUGUGAAUUUACUAUUCCCGUUGAACCACAAGNNNNNNNNNNNNNNNNNNNNNNNNNNNNNNNNNNNNNNNNNNNNNNNNNNNNNNNNNNNNNNNNNNNNNNNNNNNNNNNNNNNNNNNNNNNNNNNNNNNNNNNNNNNNNNNNNNNNNNNNNNNNNNNNNNNNNNNNNNNNNNNNNNNNNNNNNNNNNNNNNNNNNNNNNNNNNNNNNNNNNNNNNNNNNNNNNNNNNNNNNNNNNNNNNNNNNNNNNNNNNNNNNNNNNNNNNNNNNNNNNNNNNNNNNNNNNNNNNNNNNNNNNNNNNNNNNNNNNNNNNNNNNNNNNNNNNNNNNNNNNNNNNNNNNNNNNNNNNNNNNNNNNNNNNNNNNNNNNNNNNNNNNNNNNNNNNNNNNNNNNNNNNNNNNNNNNNNNNNNNNNNNNNNNNNNNNNNNNNNNNNNNNNNNNNNNNNNNNNNNNNNNNNNNNNNNNNNNNNNNNNNNNNNNNNNNNNNNNNNNNNNNNNNNNNNNNNNNNNNNNNNNNNNNNNNNNNNNNNNNNNNNNNNNNNNNNNNNNNNNNNNNNNNNNNNNNNNNNNNNNNNNNNNNNNNNNNNNNNNNNNGCAGUAUCAUAGGUGAAAUCCAGCUAGUUUUUAUCUUUAAAUUCCACAAUCUGCAAAACAAAACAAAAAUACAGAUUAUUAAUAAUUAAAACAAACUUAAACUUCCCUUUAAAGACCGAACUUCAUCUUAAUGGUACUGCAUAAUUUGAUAAAAAUAUCUUAAGAUACAGCUUUGGUAAACAUGUCAGCAAGUUGAUCAGAUGAGCGCACAUGUUUUAUAUUUAUUGAUCCAUUUAAAAUUAAUUCUCUAAUGAAAUGUAUAUCUGUUUCUAGGUAUUUCGACAUUUUGCUAAUUACUGGAUUUUUGGCCAUAAAAAUAGAUGAAAUAUUAUCCGUGUAUAGAAGAGGAACCUGAAUUAAUUUAUGACAAAGAUCUCUACAGAUAAAAUGAGUCCAUCUUAAAUUUAUAGUGGGACUUGCUAGGGCUCUAUAUAUAUAAAGGAAUAUAAACCCUAAAAGUAGAUUUAUUAACAUUAGUUUAAUUAAUAACAUGAUAACUAUUUUCUCUAACAUUAUUUGGUCAUGUAAAAUAUUGUAUUUAACAGGGUUAUGCUAGCAAUUAUUUCAAUGAAAGCUUACUGGAUUAAUGAGGGUCAACAAGAUGAUGGUGGCCAGUUAAAUGAAAUCUAUUAGUCUAAUAAAUAGUUAAAUACAAUGUAAUAAAAACAGAUGAGCAGUUAAAUCAGUUAAGGCCCAAGUAUAAAUAUUAUAAAUACUUAAAGAAAACAGUGUAAUAAUGAUUCAGUUAAUGAGAUUUCCCAAUUUAACUGAUUUACCUUCUUCCUCUUUUAAAAUCUUCCAAAGACAUUCCGACAGUAUCUCCGGCCAUUGUCGGUCUUCCACACGAGGAAGACAAUAGGGUUAUCUUUUUUCCCAAUCAAUUCUUUUACUAUAUUCAGCCUCAACACUUGAUCUUGAAACAAUAUUUUAUUUCUUUGAUGACCAAGUUACUAAGUUUCCUCCGAUAACAGUUGUUUUGUAUCUUCGAUCAAACAAUAUUUUCUUUCUAGAGAUUUCGAUCUCUAGAAAAAUUCUUUGUAUCAUUGUUAUCAUGGUUUCUAUCUUUGUUGUUUCGAUUAUCUUUAUUCUGAUAAAAAUUAAAUUUUGUAGCCAAGGUAGAAUCGGACGGUAUUGCAUUUUAAGAAGUGUUAAAUCGGCGAAGAUAUUGAUCUUCCCUAAUGGCGACAUGAAUAAAAUCUUCAAAUGGGAGAUUCGGUUGAGAAUGUAUGCAAGUAACAAAAGAUCGAAAUUAAAACGUAAGACCAUCGAUUAUGUACAAAAUCAACCUUGUCACUAUCGGUCAAUUUCUCACCGCCAGCAGACAAACUAUCGAAAAUCGCACGGAUCUUGAUAACAAACUCACCCAUGGUUUCCGUUUCCAAUUUCUUUAAACUCCUUAACUGAUCGCGCAAUAUUUGAGUAUGAAUAGUCCUUCGCGUAGAUAGAUGAAGAUCCAAUACAAACCAACAAUAAUAUGCAUUGGAGUGACCCAUCACCAAAGAAAACAUCGGUGGAGAAACAACAGAUAAUUGAAUUCAACCUAAAACAAUCAUAUGCAUUGGAUUGACCCAAAUUCUGUAAAGGGGGUUGAUUGAUCCAUUUGAUUUCUUCUGUAAAGGGUAUGUCUCACACUUUUCCAAGGGGCAUCUGAUCAACUGAGAUACUUGACACUUAUAUAAGUCAUCUGAAAUUCCGAAAUUAGAAAAUCCACCUGACUCACCUGUAGGAGGCGACAUAAUCUUCUGGAAAAAAAACACCAGCUGAAAAGAUACCAACAAAAACAAAAGAUACGUAGGAUAGAAGAUAAAUGCAAUGAAAUCAACAAAGAAAUCAACAAAAGAUACCAACUAAUUAGUUAUAUAGAAGCAAAAACACCAAUAGUACUUUUCAGAAAAGAAAAGAAAUAAAAUAAAAAUAAAUCUUGAUACCAACAAUGAUUUAUUUAAUCAACAUGCACACAAUUCAAGAAGUUUGUACAAAGACCAUUGGACAUAUUGGAGCUACGUACACAUUCAGAAAUUUGUACCUAAUUCAACUAUAAAUUGAUGGAGAUUGUAGAGUGUUCUUCACCAUCAAUUGCAAAAACUUAAUUUCCAAUUGUUGAGACGCAAUUAGGUAGCACUAUAUACUUAAGCAACCUAAUCACACCUUGACAUAUAUCAAUAGCAAAACCAUGUGUACGUGUCCAUCUUCUCCCAACGAAGCAACACCUGGCCAGCUACGUGUUGAAGAACCAUGAAUGCAACAACCAUACCUAUAAAAGGGAGCAAUUAUACGAAGGAAAGGCACGGAAAAAUCAUACCUCAACACCAAUGGAGAAAGAAGAAGCGAGACUUGUGGGUUUUUUGGCAAGUCCAUUUGUGUUAAGAGCAAGAAUAGCCUUGAAGAUCAAAGGAAUUCCAUAUGAGUUUGUUGACGAAGACAAGAGAAAUGAGUUUCCAACACUUCUUCACGAUGGUAAUGUCGUAUCAGAGUCUUUCAAAAUAGUUGAGUACCUUGAUGCAACAUGGAAGGCCGUGGAUUCCCCUUUCAUCUUGCCGGUCGAUCCUUACGACCGUACUAUUGUACGAUUUUGGGCUACAUAUAUUGAUGAUAAGGUAUGUAAUUAUGUAAGCAAACAGACAAAAAACAUCAAUGUUUUAGAUUUUAUAAUUAUUUAUUUAUUAUAAAUCAAUUCUACCCAGAAUUCCAUGAUUAUUUAUUUAUUGAUUGAUUGAUUUUGCUUGCAGAUUUUAUCGGCCAUGAAAUUGAUAAUAAAAGGAUCGACAAACAAGAUUGAAGAAGAAUUUCAUGAGGCAAUGCAGGUUUUGGAAAGUAUUUUCAAAAAUGAAAGUCAAGGUCAAAGCUUCUUUGCAAAGGGAAAUAUCGGAUAUAUUGACAUAUCUUUGGGGUCAAUAUUGGGUUGGAUGAAAGUUGUUGAGAAAUCAAAGAAUAUUAGGUUACUGGAUGAGAGGAAGACGCCUAUGUUGGUGAAUUGGGCUGAACAAUUCCAAGCUCACGAAGUUGUCAAGGGAAUGAUACCCGAACCAGACAAGUUGUCUAAGACAAUUGAUGAAAAAACAAUAGACGAUUCCAAACAACAAGAUGAAAUUGAUCGAGCAUUUAUCUAUGCUAGGCAAUUGACGUUCAAUCAUGCUCUCUCAAUGACCUUGAAAGUUGUCAUUGAACUGGGUGUGCUUGAUGUUAUUGCGAAUGCUGGUUUCGACAAAUUCCUCUCCCCAAAAGAGAUAGCAAGUGAAUUAUCGAUUGUCAACCCUGAUGCUCCCAUCAUGCUCAAUCGCAUGCUUAGACUACUUGCCAGCCACAAUAUCGUCAUCUGCAAAUCAAAAUCAUAUAGUAAUUGUGAUGAAAACACCAUAGUUGGUACUACGUUAUAUGGUAUUGGCCCUAUAUCUAAGUAUUUUGUCAAAAAUGAGGAUGGUGUUUCACUAGCUCCCAUGCUUGCCGCAAUCCAAGAUAAGGUUUACAUGAAAAGUUGGUAAGCUAUUUUUUUAUCAUCUUUAAUUCCAACUUUAAGAAAUCAAUCAUAACAUGUUAUAUUUAUAGGAAAACAUAAGAUAGUUUGAGACAUUUGAAACUAGGCCGUCCAUUUGAGAUAUGUAUCAUAUUAUACUUAUAUUUAAUCAUAUUAUACUUAUAUUUAAUCAUAUUAAAGAAACCAUUAGAUUUAAAAUUAACGACAUAAAUAUUGAAGAUAUCUCUUAUAAUAUCUCAAGAUUUUUUUUAUAGGUACUACUUGAAAGAAGCAGUGAUGACAGGUGGUAUUCCAUUCAACAUGGCGUACGGAAUGUCAGCUUUUGAGUAUCAUAGUAUAGAUGUGAGGUUCAAUAAUCUAUUUAAUAAAGCAUUUUUUAAUAUGACAAUCCUUAUGAAGAAAAUUCUUCAUUUAUAUAAUGGAUUUGAGAGUAUCAACAAAUUGGUUGAUGUUGGUGGGGGCACUGGAGCCAAUCUAAACAUCAUAAUCUCGCAACAUCCAACCAUAAAGGGUGUCAACUUCGACCUUCCUCAUGUCAUCAAAAAUGCCCCCUUAUUUAAAGGUAACAUAAUAUAUCCAGAAUCAGUAUAUAAUUGAAUGUUUUGCGGAAACUAAUUAUGUAUGAUUGUGUUCUGUUUUACAGGAGUGAAACAUGUUGGCGGAGACAUGUUUGAGAAGGUUCCUAGUGGUGAUGCCAUUUUUAUGAAGGUAUAUAUCUUAAACUGGCCUUUAAUUUUCCAUAUAUUGAUUCUAACCCAGAUAAGUACAUCACUGUUUUGUUUUAUGCAGUUUAUCCUACAUGAUUGGAGCGACGAUCAUUGUGUGAAGUUAUUGAAGAAUUGUUGGAAACAACUUCCAAAAAAUGGAAUGGUUAUCGUCUGUGAAUUUACUAUUCCCGUUGAACCACAAGAAGAUAAUUCAGCUUUCUAUAGUGAUAUGUCGAUGUUGACACUAAAUCCGGGAGGUAAGGAGAGGACUGAAAGUGAAUAUAGUUUACUGGCGAAGAAAGCAGGAUUUGUCGAUUUCAAAGUUGCAUGUGAUGUAUAUGGAAUGUACAUCAUGGAAUUCAGUAAGUAGUUGCACGCCCAAAUUUCUUCCUUAUGUGGAAAUACUAAAUAAAAUUAAAGCUUAUAUACACAACUUGAUUAGUCCAGUUGGUAACUAUCACUAUUAAGGUGGACGAACUGUUAAAGGUCCAGGGUUUGAGUCUCAAUGUAUGUAUUUUAAUUUAUAUUUACUUUUGUAUCAGUUUAUCAAAAAAUAAAAAUGUUUGCAAUAUAUAUAUAUAGAGAAAAAAUCAGGAACGACCCUGAUCGCACGGUGCCCUAAAACGGUACCUGCCCCCUCCGCCUUGCGAUUCCACAUCCACGGUCGUCUCCUCUCCAAGCCAACGUAUCUACCGAUGGCCAAUCUACCUCUAACAGAGUAAUGUGAGAUACUGUCAGUAACUGCGAUUUCGGUCCCGCAACAGAGUAACUGCGAUUUCGGUUCCGCGGAACCCAUCGCGAGUUCCGCGGAACUCGAUCGCGGUUCUGCGGAACUCGAUUUCGCAGAACCGGAACCGAAAUCGCGAUAGUGAGGGCCUCUGACACUGGCAGUGUGCCGGAAACGAAUCUUGCUGCGAAGAAGCCAAAGAUCUUAGUUGCCGGAGGCGGAAUCGAUUUGAGUACCAACUGCACAAACAUCGGUUGGUGUUCUUUUCCACCACUGGAAGCCUCAAUUGCUUUUUUCCCAACAAUCAUCUUGGUUUUGUGGUUGAAAUAACGCAGACCCCAAAGACCUUUAUUCAGAGCAGUUGAACUCGCACCCAAUUUUGAUGCAUACAUCUCUGCAAACUGAGCAAUGCCGAAUCCCCAACCAUCUAGCGCACAGACGAAGACCACAUUUCCUUUCUGUGGCUGGAACGUAUCUGCCUCAUUGUCUUCCUCCUCUACGAAUUCUUCUCCUACAGUGCUGGAUCCAGUGAUGAAGAGAUCCACAUCAGAGAGGUACUUGACAGAUUUAAACCCACUGAUAAUUCCAUUGACAUCGUGAAUAAUCCUUUGCAAUUUCGUAUAGGCUUCCAUCGGACUCAACUUUAACUCUGUGAUCAAUCGAUCGAUCUUGUUGAGGACGAGACAAGGAGUCAACUUCUCAAUCCAUGCCUGACGGAGAGCAGCAUGGGUUUGGAUAUGAACACCUUCGACGGAAACAACCAGAACCAAAGCCCCAUCACUUAAUCUGGCGGCAGUGGACACCUCGCUGCAGAAGUCGAUGUGUCCAGGGGAAUCAAUAAGGUUUAUGGAAUGUUCACCGUAUUUCAAUAAAAUAGAAGAGCUUUUCAUUGUGAUGGCUCGCCGUUGUUCCGCGGAACUCGAUCGCGGUUCCGCGGAACUCGAUCGCGGUUCCGCGGAACUCGAUCGCGGUUCCGCGGAAUCGGAAUCGGACCGCCGUGGAAUCGGAAUCGGAACGACGCGGAAUCGGAACGUCGUGGAAUCGGAAUCGGAACGACGCGAAAUCGGAAUCGGAACCGGAACCGUACGGAUCGAGGAGGGGAACGCACGGUGCGGACGGGCCGUGCCAGAUGUUUUUCCUAUAUAUAUAUACGUGUCUAUAUUUAUAUUUGUUUAAGAUGAAUGUCUAUAUACAAUUUCCAUUCUCAUAUAUACGUGUAUUAGGUCGUGGUAGGGGUGAGAAUGGUCCCGGGUCACCCCUUAGACCCGUCUCGUACGUUCCGUGUCUUGGUGGGAACAGGAUCGAGGUAGGAUUUUGCCCCGAAUUUUUUUUCCCGCCUUGUUGCUCCGGUCAUUUUAUGGAGCAGGUGUUAGGGCAGGGAAAACUAUAAUUUUCCUUUUAUUUUUAGCCUCGAUCAUAUUUUCGAGGGCGGGUCUCAGAGCUUGUAAAUGGUACAUCAAAAUUUGAAUUCGAGUUUGAAUUUUUUUAAAACUAUUUGAAUUUGGUUAUUCAAAUUUCAAAUGCGAAUUCAGUUUUCAAUUUUUGAAUCCGUGAAAUAUUUGGUCGAAUAUACGAAUUCAAUUCAACAAUUUGAGGUAUUAGACAUCUCAACUAAUGAUCAUAUAAUACAAAACACACCAAAAAAAGAGAAACAGUCCUCAAUCAACAAUGACCCAAUAACAUCAUUGGUGACUAAGAUAAGUAUCUCAGACAAACAAAAACAUUAUGAAAAAUCUACUAGUCCAAAAUAGCAAACAAAAACACUCUUCUGGACUAAUUAGAGAAUGAGAAGAACAUAUCCAAAUCUGAAUUGGGAGAGAAAAUUAAAAGCACAAAGAUGUCAAAAACAUUAAAAUCAAAAAGGUGAGAAGACCCUUCAAAAAGACCAACUAAAUAUGAUGAUAUCUAUUGUCCUAGUUUCAAAGAAACCAGAAAAUGAAAGUAUAUCAAAUCACAGGUUUAAUGAAAAACAUAAAGAUUUUGUGAAAACAAUCACAAAAGAAACAAAAUCAAAACAUUACCAUCAUGCCAAGUGUUACCCAAAAUGGCGUCAGACUAUGAAUGAGGAAAUGUUGGCUCUUAAAAAGAACAACAUAUGUUCCAUAUAUAGUACCGUUACCAUCUAACAAAAAGCCCAUAGGCUCAAGAUGGAUAAAAUAAAAUACAAAUCUGAUGAGACCAUUGAGAGAUACAAAGCUCGACUACUAACCAACUCAAUACCCAAACUAGUAUCAUUCAAAACACUAUUAACCAUAGUGGAAGACUUAAAUGAAGCUCCAUCAAAUGGAUGUAUACAAUGCAUUCUUGCGCACAUGAAGACCCAAAUGAGGAAAUAUAUAUGAUUAUAGCCCAAAUGCAUGUUCUGGAUUUUUAUGGCCAAAAGAUUUUUCAUUUUUCACAACACACCAUAAGACCAAAAACUGAUUCUUUCAACAUGCAAGGAGUAGCUCUUAAAUGAUUUUUAUGGAUGGAGUCCAGCAACUAUCUGACUACAUGGCUUGCAUUUGUCAAGUCUAUAUUAAAGAAAUUUAAUCCAACUACAUGCACCACUCCAGGUGGAAAACUCAGUAAAUUUGUUUCAAACAUCAACAGUUGCUGAUUUCAUGGAGAAAUUUGAAGAUUACUCAUCAAAAGUAAUAGGAAUCCCUGAUUAGCUAUUAUUAAAAUGUUCCUAUCAUGCCCAAAGGAUGAUAUUCAAAAAGAUGUAGUGACACAGCAAAACUUGAAGAUUUACCAGAGGCUAUGAUCAAGGUGGCUAUUCAUCUUGAAAAACAGGGAACAAGAAGCACUUCAACCUUCAAACAAGGAGGAUACAAAUCCAUCCAUGAAAGGCAAUAUAUACUACACCAAGAAUAAUAUUAAGUGAGUAUAUAACUCUAAUAUGGCCAGCAACACAAUCACCAACACUCCCAAAACAGAAAAUCUAAACCCAAAUUUCAAGAGCCUCACAUUUGCUGAGAGAAAAAAAAGAACUUCCAAAGGGUUAUGCUUUAAUUAUGAUGAAAAAUUCUCACCGAGACACAAAUGUAGAGGAAAAUUAUUCAGAUUUUCAGAUAAAAACAACACCUUCUGAGAACUAGCAGAUACAGAUGAAGGAGAAGAAGAAGCUGGAAUUAAAAUUCUGAAGAUCGAGGAAGAGUCUGAAAUCAGCCUUCAAGCAUUACAGGGAAGAAUUGGCAUAAUAAACAUCAGACUGGAAGGCUUCAUCAAAAGCUUUAAGACAGACCUUUCAAUCAAAAUGGAACAUACACAAGAAUGGUGGUAGGAUAUUGGAAUAUUAAAAUACAAAUCACUUCUUACUUUCUUUGUAGAUCUUAGAAGAUUAGAAGUACAAGUGUUGAACCGUAGAUCUCGAUCUUUUUGAAAGCUUUUUGGUGCUAGACCACAACUUGAGGGAUGAAUGAUUGAACUCAAAGAUUGAAGAUUUGAAGAGAGUUUGGAAGCUCAAAAACGUUGUAGUGUGUUGGCUUCAAAUGAUGAAAGUUUCCCUCUAUUUAUAGAAAAAUAAAUUCUUCAAAUGAUGUAGUGUGUCACUUGAUUGAAGUUUGGUUUGAGCAGUCUUGACUUUUAGAUUUUUGAACAACGGUUUUAUGUUUUCUCGCUACAGUCCAAAAACAAUUGACUUUUGAGAUUUCUUUUUUUAAUUGCCUAGGAAAUUGAUUCCUUUUGAAUAAGAGAAUGUCGGUUGACCGCAUAUUGGAUUUUGACUUUUGGCGAAUCGAAUACCUAAGUUUUUGGUUCGGUUCGUAUAAAUAAACAAGCCUACUCUUAGAUUUGAGUUCGUUUCCGAACCUAAUUCGAACUGAAUUCGAACUGAAUCCGAAACGAACCGAAUAGUUCGUCGAAUACCGAACUUUUGUUGCAAUUAUGGUAAAUUAAAUACAAUAUCAAUUUCUGCAUCUUGUAGAGAGAGAUUCCCCCUCUUUUCUCUAUAACAUAUUAUUCACUAUUAAUGAUCCAAUAAUAGUACUAUAUAAUCCAAGCUAUCUUAAUCAUAAUGAUCAAAAAAUCCCAGAGGCCCACUCCUUUUUUUUUCCACCUACUCUACUAAGGGUGAGAAUAGAUCCCGAUCCGUCCCGUUUCACGUCCCGAUCGUCAAGACAGAAAAGUAGGGUACCUGACCGGUCCGUUUUGGAAAAACGGGACGGGACCACCCCACCCCACCCGCGAUUCGUCCCAUUCUCAUCUCUACCUACUACGUACUCAAUAAUUGGAUCAAUGCUUCUUCAAUCUCGAUAAAAUAUAUUAUUUAUGAUUCAAAUGAUAGAGAUAUUUUAAAAACUUUACAAAAUUUAGAUUUUUUAUUCAAUUUGUGUAAGUUAAAAUUCAAGUUCGAACCCAAGCUUGUCGAUUUUGCUAAUGAAACGAGUGGUUGAGGAAUUGUCCAGGAAGAUAAAACCUUAUGGUUUUACUAGUUUUUCAUUUCUUCUUUCCUCUUCAAUUAUUCAGACCACUUGGACAUAUUCCGAGCCACAUACAAAUUCAGAAAUUUGUACCUAAUUCAACUAUAAAUAGAUGAAGAUUGUAGUGUUCUUCACCAUCAAUUGCGAAAACUUAAAUUCUAUGGAGAAAGAAGAAGCAAGGCUUGUGGGUUUUUCGGCAAGUCCAUUUGUGUUAAGAACAAUAAUAGCCUUGAAGAUCAAAGGAAUUCCAUAUGAGUUUGUUGACGGAGAUAAGAGAAACGAGUUUCCAACACUUCUUCACGCUGGUAAUGUCGUAUCAAAGUCUUUCAAAAUAGUUGAGUACCUUGAUGCAACAUGGAAGGCCGAGGAUCGCCCUCUCAUCUUGCCGGUCGAUCCUUACGACCGUACUAUUGUGCGAUUUUGGGCUACAUAUAUUGAUGACAAGGUAUAUAAUUAUGUAAGCAUUUAUAUUUUAGUUAGAUAUGCAAACAUGUUUGUAAGUCUUUUUUACCCAUCUAGUUAAUUAAGGUAGAUAAAAACCCGAACCAAGACUUUUAGUUUCGAUUUGGUUCAACGAUCUUAUAAUUAAAUUUUUAGACCCAAAAUCUUAUAAUUAAAUCAUAAUUAAAUUAAGUUUAAAAAGUAAUAAUCUAUUAAAUGUUAUUAAUUUAAAUCAGUGACAUGAUUUUUUACCGGUUAAAAGAUAAGAAAGACCGACCGAGGUUUUUCACCCCAACUCAUAUCUUAAAAGUACAUCCUCUAAAGAUACGUAUGAUCAAUAUGGGAUAGGUAGAGUAGAAAAUAUAAAAUGAAAAUAAUGUAGGUAAACUAGCUUUAGGACUGGGGGCAAAUGCACAUCACCAAAAUUUAAGGUUUAGAGGGGAGUAGUAUAUAUGUUCAAUCUACCUUCUUUUUGAAAAUCAAUAAAUUUACAACUGAUUUCAAAUUAAAAAAAAUACUAAUUUCAAUUAGUGGGAUCCACCUGCGGAAUUGGUCCUAGCUAGAUUAACAAUUUAAUGGUUAUGGGCUUGGUCUGUUUUAGAAACAAACUAGUUCUAAUUAAAACCAGCAAACCAUGCCCAUUAUGCAAAUUCACCUAUAUCUAUUAUAAAUCAAUUCUACCCAGAAUUCCAUGAUUAUUUAUUUAUUUACUUAUUUUUCUUGCAGAUUUUAUCGGCCAUGAAAUUGAUAAUAAAAGGAUCGACAAAGAAGAUUGAAGAAGAAUUUCAUGAGGCAAUGCAGGUUUUGGAAAGUGUUUUCAAAAAUGAAAGUCAAGGUCAAAGCUUCUUUGCAAAGGGAAAUAUCGGAUAUAUUGACAUAUCUUUGGGGUCAAUAUUGGGUUGGAUGAAAGUUGUUGAGAAAUCAAAGAAUAUUAGGUUACUGGAUGAGAGGAAGACGCCUAUGUUGGUGAAUUGGGCUGAACAAUUCCAAGCUCACGAAGUUGUCAAGGGAAUGAUACCCGAACCAGACAAGUUGUCUAAGACAAUUGAUGAAAAAACAAUAGACGAUUCCAAACAACAAGAUGAAAUUGAUCGAGCAUUUAUCUAUGCUAGGCAAUUGACGUUCAAUCAUGCUCUCUCAAUGACCUUGAAAGUUGUCAUUGAACUGGGUGUGCUUGAUGUUAUUGCGAAUGCUGGUUUCGACAAAUUCCUCUCCCCAAAAGAGAUAGCAAGUGAAUUAUCGAUUGUCAACCCUGAUGCUCCCAUCAUGCUCAAUCGCAUGCUUAGACUACUUGCCAGCCACAAUAUCGUCAUCUGCAAAUCAAAAUCAUAUAGUAAUUGUGAUGAAAACACCAUAGUUGGUACUACGUUAUAUGGUAUUGGCCCUAUAUCUAAGUAUUUUGUCAAAAAUGAGGAUGGUGUUUCACUAGCUCCCAUGCUUGCCG